rnacentral:tRNA from 1 species
AUGGAAAUCUCUGUAAUCUUUAGAUAUAUAGGGGCGGAUGUAGCCAAGUGGAUCAAGGCNGUGGAUUUGUGA